rnacentral:rRNA from 1 species
ACGAACGCUGGCGGCGUGCUUAACACAUGCCAGUCGAACGGAAAGGCCCCUUUGGGGGUACUCGAGUGGCGAACGGGUGAGUAACACGUGAGUAACCUGCCCUUGACUUCGGGAUAACUUCAGGAAACUGGGGCUAAUACCGGAUAGGAAUCCUUGCUGCAUGGUGGGGGUUGGAAAGCUUCGGCGGUUUUGGAUGGACUCGCGGCUUAUCAGCUUGUUGGUGGGGUAGUGGCUUACCAAGGCUUUGACGGGUAGCCGGCCUGAGCGGGCGACCGGCCACAUUGGGACUGAGAUACGGCCCAGACUCCUACGGGAGGCAGCAGUGGGGAAUAUUGCACAAUGGGCGGAAGCCUGAUGCAGCAACGCCGCGUGCGGGAUGACGGCCUUCGGGUUGUAAACCGCUUUCAGCAGGGGCGAAGCUUGUGGUGACGGUACCUGCAGAAGAAGCACCGGCUAACUACGUG